rnacentral:misc_RNA from 1 species
GAAAUGCGAUAAGUAAUGUGAAUUGCAGAAUUCAGUGAAUCAUCGAAUCUUUGAACGCACAUUGCGCCCGCCAGUAUUCUGGCGGGCAUGCCUGUUCGAGCGUCAUUUCAACCAUCAAGCCCCCGGGCUUGUGUUGGGGACCUGCGGCUGCCGCAGGCCCCGAAAACUAGUGGCGGGCUCGCUGUCACACCGGGCGUAGUAGAUUUUUCGUCUCGCCCAGGGCGUGCUGCGGGUUCCGGCCGUUAAAAAGCCUCUCUUUUAACCCAAGGUUGACCUCGGAUCAGGUAGGAAGACCCGCUGAACUUAAGC